UUUUCCCUAUUCUUCCCGUUUUUCUUUCCUUUCACCCAAAUUUCUUCUACUGAUUUCCAAGACCAACUUGAGGAAUAAAGUCUUUUGGUUUAAGCAGUUCACUGUCAAAUUUUUGGAGAAGAAGUUGGCUUCCACCAAAUGCGCUCUACUUUAGGAACUUCGGGCCUAAGUGGCACCCCACCAACUCGAGGGCAACCCGGAAGAUCGUUGCGGCAACGAUAGAUGAGUUAGGAUCAUUCUGGAGCAGCAAGCUAAAGACGCAAAGUUGGUAUUUACUUUGUCGUCCUUAUAUAUAUAUGUAUAUAUCAAGCAAGCUAAAGACGCAAAGUUGGUAUUUACUUUGUCGUCCUUAUAUAUAUAUAUGUAUAUAUCAUGGCAUAAUAACAAGUGGGCAUUGGGAGUUUUUUGGAAUGGUGAUCAGUUUGCUACAAAGUAUUUCCGUUCAUAUUUUGUUAUGUAUAUGUCUAUCUGUUUGGAACAUUUUCUGCUGUCGAAUUUUACUGCAUCCACAAGUCGUGUUUUAUGUAUUAUUACUUCUUCAAAUUUUUACCUUAAUGAAUUGCUAAAUUUCAACUAAUGAAAGACUUAGUAUUAUGGAACUUUGAUUUUGUUGUGAAGACAUAUGUACAAGGAAAUACAUAUCGUUCUCCAUCA